CAGGCCAGCGCGGCACUGCCAGGCCCUCACCACGAACCCGGGGGACAGCACAGGUAGCCGGGCACAGGCACCCAUCACGCUCCUCGGCCAGACCGAGACAG